rnacentral:lncRNA from 1 species
CACCAGAGCUCCUCUGAGGGAGGCCAUGGCUACCGGUAUCUGACAGUGUCCCUCAUGGCUGCCAGGAGCUGAGGGCGUUCUUCAUGGGCCGGGUGUGGGCGCUGUGCGGCACCAGAGCUCCCUGAGGGUGUUCAUGGCUGCCGGGAUGUGGGCGCUGUGCGGCACCAGAGCCCCCCUGAGGGCGUUCAUGGCGGGCCGGGAUGUGAGGGCGUUCAUGGCGGGCAGGGUGUGGGUGCUGUGCGGCACCAGAGCCUCCCUGAGGGAGGUCAUGGCUGCCGGGAUCUGAGGGCGUUCAUGGCCGGCAGGGUGUGGGCGCUGUGCGGC